UACGGAGGGUGCGAGCGUUGUCCGGAUUUAUUGGGCGUAAAGAGCUCGUAGGCGGCUUGUCACGUCGGGUGUGAAAGCCCGGGGCUUAACCCCGGGUCUGCAUUCGAUACGGGCAGGCUAGAGUGUGGUAGGGGAGAUCGGAAUUCCUGGUGUAGCGGUGAAAUGCGCAGAUAUCAGGAGGAACACCGGUGGCGAAGGCGGAUCUCUGGGCCAUUACUGACGCUGAGGAGCGAAAGCGUGGGAGCGAACAGG
rnacentral:rRNA from 1 species